rnacentral:rRNA from 1 species
UAGGGAAUCUUCCACAAUGGACGCAAGUCUGAUGGAGCAACGCCGCGUGAGUGAAGAAGGUUUUCGGACCGUAAAGCUCUGUUGUUGGUGAAGAAGGAUAGAGGUAGUAACUGGCCUUUAUUUGACGGUAAUCAACCAGAAAGUCACGGCUAACUACGUGCCAGCAGCCGCGGUAAUACGUAGGUGGCAAGCGUUGUCCGGAUUUAUUGGGCGUAAAGCGAGCGCAGGCGGAAGAAUAAGUCUGAUGUGAAAGCCCUCGGCUUAACCGAGGAAUUGCAUCGGAAACUGUUUUCUUGAGUGCAGAAGAGGAGAGUAGAACUCCAUGUGUAGCGGUGGAAUGCGUAGAUAUAUGGAAGAAUACCAGUGGCGAAGGCGGCUCUCUGGUCUGCAACUGACGCUGAGGCUCGAAAGCAUGGGUAGCGAACAGGAUUAGAUACCCUGGUAGUCCAUGCCGUAAACGAUGAGUGCUAAGUGUUGGGAGGCUUCCGCCUCUCAGUGCUGCAGCUAACGCAUUAAGCACUCCGCCUGGGGGAGUACGACCGCAAGGUUGAAACUCAAAGUGAA